CCCUUAGAUGCUCUGGGCCGCACGCGCGCUACACUGGUCGAUGCAACGAGUUUCUUUCCUUGGCCGACAGGCCUGGGCAAUCUUUGAACAUCGAUCGUGAUCGGGAUAGAUUCUUGUAAUUUUUGAUCUUAAACGAGGAAUUCCUAGUAAACGCAAGUCAUCAGCUUGCAUUGAUUACGUCCCUGCCCUUUGUGCACACCGCCCGUCGCACCUACCGAUUGAAUGGUCCGGUGAAAUCUCCGGACUGGCGUGAGUCGGAGCAAUCUGACAAACACCGGAAAGUUGAUUAAACCUUACCAUUUAGAGGAAGGUGAAGUCGUAACA
rnacentral:rRNA from 1 species